UACAGAGGGGGCAAGCGUUGUUCGGAAUUACUGGGCGUAAAGGGCGCGUAGGCGGCCUGUUAAGUCGAACGUGAAAUCCCCGGGCUCAACCCGGGAACUGCGUCCGAUACUGGCAGGCUUGAAUCCGGGAGAGGGAUGCGGAAUUCCAGGUGUAGCGGUGAAAUGCGUAGAUAUCUGGAGGAACACCGGUGGCGAAGGCGGCGAUCCUGGACCG
rnacentral:rRNA from 1 species